ACCGGACUUAGUGAGACAUGGUGCAGAAAUAACUAUUACACUUUCUUUUUUGAUAAUGGAUACACUGGAGUCUACUUUAAUCGUGUUAGAUAUUAAACUAAACUGAGCUAUCAGUGCUAUGAAGUGAAUAUCACAAAGUACAAAAGAAUUUGCACAAUCAGAUUGCACAAUAGGACAUGGAACUUUACCGGAACAUCUCCUUUAGCUUCCAGAAGUGACCAACAUUCAGUUUCAGUGUCAAAUGCCCAGACUACAAAAGA
rnacentral:lncRNA from 1 species